rnacentral:rRNA from 1 species
UACGAAGGGGGCUAGCGUUGUUCGGAAUCACUGGGCGUAAAGCGCUCGUAGGCGGAUCUUUAAGUCAGGGGUGAAAUCCCGAGGCUCAACCUCGGAACUGCCUUUGAUACUGGGGAUCUCGAGUCCGGGAGAGGUGAGUGGAACUGCGAGUGUAGAGGUGAAAUUCGUAGAUAUUGGGAAGAACACCAGUGGCGAAGGCGGCUCACUGGCCCGUUACCGACGCUCAGGCGCGACAGCGUGGGGAGCAAACAGG